rnacentral:misc_RNA from 1 species
AAGUCGUAACAAGGUUUCCGUAGGUGAACCUGCGGAAGGAUCAUUAACGAAUUCGUCGAGCGGGACUGUGCUGGCUUUAACGAGCAUGUGCACGUCUUUGCGAGACUUAAUCCAAUACACCUGUGCACCUUUGACCUGGACGAGUUCUCUUCGGAGGACUCUGAAGGGUAUUAUACACACCCUUUGAUCAGUAUGUGAUAGAAACGUUGCUUCGGCGACAAAGUUAUAAACAACUUUCAACAACGGAUCUCUUGGCUCUC